GUUCGGCUAGCUCAGUCGGUAGGGUAUGAGACUCUUAAUCUCAGGGUCGUGGGUUAGAGCCCCACGUUGGGCA
rfam:Danio rerio chromosome 4, GRCz11 reference primary assembly.